UGGGGAAUAUUGGACAAUGGGCGAAAGCCUGAUCCAGCCAUGCCGCGUGUGUGAAGAAGGUCUUCGGAUUGUAAAGCACUUUAAGGUGGGAGGAAGGGCAGUAAGCGAAUACCUUGCUGUUUUGACGUUACCGACAGAAUAAGCACCGGCUAACUCUGUGCCAGCAGCCGCGGUAUUACAGAGGGUGCAAGCGUUAAUCGGAAUUACUGGGCGUAAAGCGCGCGUAGGUGGUUCGUUAAGUUGAAUGUGAAAGCCCCGGGCUCAACCUGGGAACUGCAUCCAAAACUGGCGAGCUAGAGUAGGGCAGAGGGUGGUGGAAUUUCCUGUGUAGCGGUGAAAUGCGUAGAUAUAGGAAGGAACACCAGUGGCGAAGGCGACCACCUGGGCUCAUACUGACACUGAGGUGCGAAAGCGUGGGGAGCAAACAGG
rnacentral:rRNA from 1 species